rnacentral:miRNA from 3 species
UACCCUGUAGAUCGAGCUGUGUGU